rnacentral:rRNA from 1 species
AACGAACGCUGGCGGCAGGCUUAACACAUGCAAGUCGAACGAACGUAUGGGGCUUGCUUCAUACGUUAGUGGCAGACGGGUGAGAAACGCGUGGGAACGUACCCUAAAGUUCGGAAUAACUAUUGGAAACGAUAGCUAAUACCGGAUGUGACCGAGAGGUUAAAGGUUUACCGCUUUGGGAGCGGCCCGCGUUAGAUUAGCUAGUUGGUGGGGUAAAGGCCUACCAAGGCGAUGAUCUAUAGCUGGUCUGAGAGGAUGACCAGCCACACUGGGACUGAGACACGGCCCAGACUCCUACGGGAGGCAGCAGUGGGGAAUAUUGGACAAUGGGGGCAACCCUGAUCCAGCAAUGCCGCGUGAAUGAUGAAGGCCUUAGGGUUGUAAAGUUCUUUUAUUGAUGACGAUAAUGACGGUAAUCAAUGAAUAAGCACCGGCUAACUUCGUG